GACGAACCCGUGCGAACGUUAUUCGGAUUCACUGGGCUUAAAGCGCGUGUAGGCGGCCCGGCACGUCGGUCGUUGAAAGCCCCCGGCUCAACCGGGGAAUCGGCGCCGAUACGGCCGAGCUGGAGGGGUGUAGGGGGGCCGUGGAACUUCCGGUGGAGCGGUGAUAUGCGUUGAGAUCGGAAGGAACGCCCGAGGCGAAAGCGAGGCCCUGGACACUUACUGACGCUGAGACGCGAAAGCCAGGGGAGCAAACGGGAUUAG
rnacentral:rRNA from 1 species